rnacentral:rRNA from 1 species
GACGAACGCUGGCGGCGUGCCUAAUACAUGCAAGUCGAGCGAAUCAUUAGGAGCUUGCUCCUGAUGGUUAGCGGCGGACGGGUGAGUAACACGUGGGCAACCUGCCUGUAAGACUGGGAUAACACCGGGAAACCGGUGCUAAUACCGGAUAAUUCUUUCCCUCACAUGAGGGAAAGCUGAAAGUCGGUUUCGGCUGACACUUACAGAUGGGCCCGCGGCGCAUUAGCUAGUUGGUGAGGUAACGGCUCACCAAGGCGACGAUGCGUAGCCGACCGGAGAGGGUGAUCGGCCACACUGGGACUGAGACACGGCCCAGACUCCUACGGGAGGCAGCAGUAGGGAAUCUUCCGCAAUGGACGAAAGUCUGACGGAGCAACGCCGCGUGAGUGAUGAAGGCCUUCGGGUCGUAAAACUCUGUUGUUAGGGAAGAACAAGUAUCGGAGUAACUGCCGGUACCUUGACGGUACCUAACCAGAAAGCCACGGCUAACUACGUGCCAGCCGCCGCAGUAAUAC